UACAGGGGGGGCAAGCGUUGUUCGGAAUUACUGGGCGUAAAGGGCUCGUAGGCGGCCAACUAAGUCCGACGUGAAAUCCCAAAGCUUAACUUUGGAACUGCGUCGGAUACUGGAUGGCUUGAAUUCGGGAGAGGGAUGCAGAAUUCCAGGUGUAGCGGUGAAAUGCGUAGAUAUCUGGAGGAAUACCGGUGGCGAAGGCGGCAUCCUGGACCGACAUUGACGCUGAGGAACGAAAGCGUGGGGAGCGAACAGG
rnacentral:rRNA from 1 species